GCGGGGAAUAUUGGGCAAUGGGCGAAAGCCUGACCCAGCAACGCCGCGUGAAGGAAGAAGGUUUUCGGAUCGUAAACUUCUAUCCUUGGUGAAGAUAAUGACGGUAGCCAAGAAGGAAGCCCCGGCUAACUACGUGCCAGCAGCCGCGGUAAUACGUAGGGGGCAAGCGUUGUCCGGAAUGAUUGGGCGUAAAGGGCGCGUAGGCGGCCCGGUAAGUCUGAAGUGAAAGUCCUGCUUUUAAGGUGGGAAUUGCUUUGGAUACUGUCGGGCUUGAGUGCAGGAGAGGUAAGCGGAAUUCCCGGUGUAGCGGUGAAAUGCGUAGAGAUCGGGAGGAACACCAGUGGCGAAGGCGGCUUACUGGACUGUAACUGACGCUGAGGCGCGAAAGUGUGGGGAGCAAACAGGAUUAGAUACCCUAGUAGUCC
rnacentral:rRNA from 1 species